rnacentral:rRNA from 1 species
CCAGUGGCGAAGGCGGCACUCUGGACCAAUACUGACACUGAGGUGCGAAAGCGUGGGAGCAAACAGGAUUAGAUACCCUGGUAGUCCACGCUGUAAAACGAUGUCAACUAGCCGUUGGGACUCUUGAAGUCUUAGUGGCGCAGCUAACGCACUAAGUUGACCGCCUGGGGAGUACGGCCGCAAGGUUAAAACUCAAAUGAAUUGACGGGGGCCCGCACAAGCGGUGGAGCAUGUGGUUUAAUUCGACGCAACGCGAAGAACCUUACCUGGCCUUGACAUGCAGAGAACUUUCCAGAGAUGGAUUGGUGCCUUCGGGAACUCUGACACAGGUGCUGCAUGGCCGUCGUCAGCUCGUGUCGUGAGAUGUUGGGUUAAGUCCCGUAACGAGCGCAACCCCUAUCCCUAGUUGCUAGCAGUUCGGCUGAGAACUCUAGGGAGACUGCCGGUGACAAACCGGAGGAAGGUGGGGAUGACGUCAGGUCAUCAUGGCCCUUACGGCCAGGGCUACACACGUGCUACAAUGGUGCGUACAGAGGGCUGCAAACCCGCGAGGGGGAGCUAAUCUCACAAAACGCAUCGUAGUCCGGAUCGGAGUCUGCAACUCGACUCCNAGAAGUCGGAAUCGCUAGUAAUCGCGAAUCAGAAUGUCGCGGUGAAUACGUUCCCGGGCC